rnacentral:rRNA from 1 species
CAGCCGCCGCGGUAAUACAGAGGGUGCGAGCGUUAUUCGGAUUUACUGGGCGUAAAGCGUGCGUAGGCGGCUUCUUAAGUCGGAUGUGAAAUCCCUGAGCUUAACUUAGGAAUUGCAUUCGAUACUGGGAAGCUAGAGUAUGGGAGAGGAUGGUAGAAUUCCAGGUGUAGCGGUGAAAUGCGUAGAGAUCUGGAGGAAUACCGAUGGCGAAGGCAGCCAUCUGGCCUAAUACUGACGCUGAGGUACGAAAGCAUGGGGAGCAAACAGGAUUAGAUACCCCGGUAGUCCCUGUCUCUUAUAC